AACGAACGCUGGCGGCAGGCCUAACACAUGCAAGUCGAACGCGUGUAGCAAUACACGAGUGGCGCACGGGUGAGUAACACGUGGGAAUCAACCCAGAGGUUCGGAAUAACCGCGGGAAACUGCGGCUAAUACCGGAUAUCCCCUACGGGGAAAGAUUUAUCGCCUUUGGACGAGCCCGCGUCCGAUUAGCUAGUUGGUGAGGUAACGGCUCACCAAGGCUACGAUCGGUAGCUGGUCUGAGAGGAUGACCAGCCACACUGGAACUGAGAUACGGUCCAGACUCCUACGGGAGGCAGCAGUGGGGAAUAUUGGGCAAUGGAGGCAACUCUGACCCAGCCAUGCCGCGUGGGUGACGAAGGUCUUCGGAUUGUAAAGCCCUUUCGGCGGAGACGAUGAUGACGGUAUCCGCAGAAGAAGCCCCGGCUAACUUCGUGCCAGCAGCCGCGGUAA
rnacentral:rRNA from 1 species